rnacentral:rRNA from 1 species
AACGAACGCUGGCGGCAUGCCUAACACAUGCAAGUCGAACGAGACCUUCGGGUCUAGUGGCGCACGGGUGCGUAACGCGUGGGAACCUGCCCUUAGGUUCGGAAUAACUCCCUGAAAGGGGUGCUAAUACCGGAUAAUGUCUUCGGACCAAAGAUUUAUCGCCUUUGGAUGGGCCCGCGUUGGAUUAGCUAGUUGGUAGGGUAAAAGCCUACCAAGGCGACGAUCCAUAGCUGGUCUGAGAGGAUGAUCAGCCACACUGGGACUGAGACACGGCCCAGACUCCUACGGGAGGCAGCAGUGGGGAAUAUUGGACGAUGGGCGAAAGCCUGAUCCAGCAAUGCCGCGUGAGUGAUGAAGGCCUUAGGGUUGUAAAGCUCUUUUACCCGGGAUGAUAAUGACAGUACCGGGAGAAUAAGCUCCGGCUAACUCCGUG